GCAAGUCGAGGGGUAGGGUUAGCUUGCUAACCUGAGACCGGCGCACGGGUGCGUAACGCGUAUGCAACCUACCUUCAUCAGGGGGAUAGCCCGGAGAAAUCCGGAUUAACACCGCAUGAAAUCACAGUACGGCAUCGUACAAUGAUCAAACAUUUAUGGGAUGGAGAUGGGCAUGCGUGUCAUUAGUUAGUUGGCGGGGUAACGGCCCACCAAGACCGCGAUGACUAGGGGAUCUGAGAGGAUGACCCCCCACACUGGUACUGAGACACGGACCAGACUCCUACGGGAGGCAGCAGUAAGGAAUAUUGGUCAAUGGGCGAGAGCCUGAACCAGCCAUGCCGCGUGCAGGAAGACGGCCCUCUGGGUUGUAAACUGCUUUUACUCGGGAAUAAACCUAUCUACGUGUAGAUAGCUGAAUGUACCGAGGGAAUAAGGAUCGGCUAACUCCGUGCCAGCAGCCGCGGUAAUACGGAGGAUCCAAGCGUUAUCCGGAUUUAUUGGGUUUAAAGGGUGCGUAGGCGGCCUGUUAAGUCAGGGGUGAAAGACGGUAGCUCAACUAUCGCAGUGCCCUUGAUACUGAUGGGCUUGAAUGGACUAGAGGUAGGCGGAAUGUGACAAGUAGCGGUGAAAUGCAUAGAUAUGUCACAGAACACCGAUUGCGANNNAGCUUACUAUGGUCCUAUUGACGC
rnacentral:rRNA from 1 species